CGUGUAGGCGGUCAGAUAAGUCUGGUGUGAAAGCCCUUGGCUUAACCAAGGAAUGUCGCUGGAAACUGUCUGGCUUGAGUACGAAAGAGGAGAGUGGAAUUCCCGGUGUAGAGGUGAAAUUCGUAGAUAUCGGGAGGAACACCAGUGGCGAAGGCGGCUCUCUGGAUCGAUACUGACGCUGAUACGCGAAAGCGUGGGGAGCAAACAGGAUUAGAUACCCUGGUAGUCCACGCUGUAAACGUUGGGCACUAGGUGUAGGAGGUAUUGACCCCUUCUGUGCCGAAGCUAACGCAUUAAGUGUCCCGCCUGGGGACUACGGCCGCAAGGUUAAA
rnacentral:rRNA from 1 species